UACGUAGGGCGCGAGCGUUGUCCGGAAUUAUUGGGCGUAAAGAGCUCGUAGGCGGCUUGUUGCGUCGACCGUGAAACCCACGGGGCUCAACUUCGGGCUUGCGGUCGAUACGGGCGGGCUAGAGUUCGGUAGGGGAGACUGGAAUUCCUGGUGUAGCGGUGAAAUGCGCAGAUAUCAGGAAGAACACCCGUGGCGAAGGCGGCUCUCUGGGACGGUACUGACGCUGAGACGCGAAAGCGUGGGGAGCGAACAGG
rnacentral:rRNA from 1 species